UUCGAGCGGCGGACGGGUGAGUAACGCGUGAGCAAUCUGUCUCUUACAGGGGGAUAACACUUGGAAACAGGUGCUAAUACCGCAUAAGACCACGGCAUCACAUGGUGCAGAGGUAAAAGGGGCAACUUGGUAAGAGGUGAGCUCGCGUCUGAUUAGCUAGUUGGUGAGGUAACGGCCCACCAAGGCGACGAUCAGUAGCCGACCUGAGAGGGUGAUCGGCCACAUUGGAACUGAGACACGGUCCAGACUCCUACGGGAGGCAGCAGUGGGGAAUAUUGGGCAAUGGGCGCAAGCCUGACCCAGCAACGCCGCGUGAGGGAAGAAGUUAUUCGUAAUGUAAAGCUCUAUCAAUAGGGAAUAAGAUGAAGGUACCUAAAUAAGAAGCCCCGGCUAACUACGUGCCAGCAGCCGCGGUAAUACGUAGGGGGCAAGCGUUAUCCGGAUUUACUGGGUGUAAAGGGAGCGUAGACGGAAUGGCAAGUUUGAAGUGAAAACCCAGGGCUCAACCCUGGAAUUGCUUUAAAAACUGUUAAUCUAGAGUAUUGGAGAGGUAAGCGGAAUUUCUAGUGUAGUAGUGAAAUGCGUAGAUAUUAGGAGGAACACCGGAGGCGAAGGCGGCUUACUGGACAAAGACUGACGUUGAGGCUCGAAAGCGUGGGGAGCAAACAGGAUUAGAUACCCUGGUAGUCCACGCUGUAAACGAUGAAUACUAGGUGUUUGGUUAGAGAAAUCUGAUCAGUGCCGUCGCAAACGCAAUAAGUAUUCCACCUGAGGAGUACGUUCGCAAGAAUGAAACUCAAAGGAAUUGACGGGGACCCGCACAAGCGGUGGAGCAUGUGGUUUAAUUCGAAGCAACGCGAAGAACCUUACCUGGUCUUGACAUCUACUUGAAUAUUUAUGUAAUGUAAGUAGUCUUCGGACAAGUAAGACAGGUGGUGCAUGGUUGUCGUCAGCUCGUGUCGUGAGAUGUUAGGUUAAGUCCUGCAACGAGCGCAACCCUUAUUAGUAGUAGCCAAUAUUUAGUUAGGCACUCUACUGAGACUGCCGAGGUUAACUCGGAGGAAGGUGGGGAUGACGUCAAAUCAUCAUGCCCAUUAUGACCAGGGCUACACACGUGCUACAAUGGCGGUAUACAAAGAGAAGCGAAAGAGUGAUCUGGAGCGAAUCUCCAAAAAGCCGUCUCAGUUCGGAUUGUAGUCUGCAACUCGACUACAUGAAGCUGGAAUCGCUAGUAAUCGCGAAUCAGAAUGUCGCGGUGAAUACGUUCCCGGGUCUUGCACACACCGCCCGUCA
rnacentral:rRNA from 1 species